GAGAACUUAGCAGAGAUGCUUUGGUGCCUUCGGGAACUCUGAGGACAGGUGCUGCAUGGCUGCCGUCAGCUCGUGUUGUGAAAUGUUGGGUUAAGUCCCGCAACGAGCGCAACCCUUAUCCUUUGUUGCCAGCGGUUCGGCCGGGAACUCAAAGGAGACUGCCGGUGAUAAACCGGAGGAAGGUGGGGAUGACGUCAAGUCAUCAUGGCCCUUACGGCCAGGGCUACACACGUGCUACAAUGGCGCAUACAAAGAGAAGCGACCUCGCGAGAGCAAGCGGACCUCAUAAAGUGCGUCGUAGUCCGGAUUGGAGUCUGCAACUCGACUCCAUGAAGUCGGAAUCGCUAGUAAUCGUAGAUCAGAAUGCUACGGUGAAUACGUUCCCGGGCCUUGUACACACCGCCCGUCACACCAUGGGAGUGGGUUGCAAAAGAAGUAGGUAGCUUAACCUUCGGGAGGGCGCUUACCACUUUGUGAUUCAUGACUGGGGUGAAGUCGUAACAAGGUAGGCGUAGCGAG
rnacentral:rRNA from 1 species